rnacentral:rRNA from 1 species
GUCUGCGUGGAGCCAACCUUGAAAUACCACCCUUUAAUGUUUGAUGUUCUAACGUGGACCCGUAAUCCGGGUUGCGGACAGUGUCUGGUGGGUAGUUUGACUGGGGCGGUCUCCUCCUAAAGAGUAACGGAGGAGCACGAAGGUUGGCUAAUCCUGGUCGGACAUCAGGAGGUUAGUGCAAUGGCAUAAGCCAGCUUGACUGCGAGCGUGACGGCGCGAGCAGGUGCGAAAGCAGGUCAUAGUGAUCCGGUGGUUCUGAAUGGAAGGGCCAUCGCUCAACGGAUAAAAGGUACUCCGGGGAUAACAGGCUGAUACCGCCCAAGAGUUCAUAUCGACGGCGGUGUUUGGCACCUCGAUGUCGGCUCAUCACAUCCUGGGGCUGAAGUAGGUCCCAAGGGUAUGGCUGUUCGCCAUUUAAAGUGGUACGCGAGCUGGGUUUAGAACGUCGUGAGACAGUUCGGUCCCUAUCUGCCGUGGGCGCUGGAGAACUGAGGGGGGCUGCUCCUAGUACGAGAGGACCGGAGUGGACGCAUCACUGGUGUUCGGGUUGUCAUGCCAAUGGCACUGCCCGGUAGCUAAAUGCGGAAGAGAUAAGUGCUGAAAGCAUCUAAGCACGAAACUUGCCCCGAGAUGAGUUCUC